AACGCGUGAAGGCGAGCACUCUAGACGAACUGCCGUUGACAAAACGGAGGAAGGUGGGGAUGACGUCAAAUCAUCAUGCCCCUUAUGUUCUGGGCUACACACGUGCUACAAUGGCCGGUACAGACGGACGCAAAGCCGCGAGGUGGAGCAAAUCCUAAAAAGCCGGUCUCAGUUCGGAUUGCAGGCUGCAAUUCGCCUGCAUGAAGUCGGAAUCGCUAGUAAUCGCGGGUCAGCAUACUGCGGUGAAUACGUUCCCGGGCCUU
rnacentral:rRNA from 1 species